rnacentral:lncRNA from 1 species
UGUAUCUUUAAAAAAUACCUCAAGGUCAUAUUUGUAUGUUGACCUUGACCUUUGACCUAACACCUUGUUAUGGGAUAAUCUCAAAAACCAUUAUACUUACAGAAGUUUUAAAUAGUGGAAAAUGUUUGGGUCAUUAUGGCGCAACUUUGUUACAUUUUGACCAAAGAGAUUUGACCUUUCUAUAAGGGGCAUAACCCCUGUUUUAGGUUUCUGAAAAGACAAAAUCAGCUUUUACUAUAUAACCAAAGGUCCUAGACCCUUAAGGUCUUCAGUAAUGGCAUUGGGGACCAAUGACCUUGACAAAGGUCAAAAGGUCAAAGGUCAAGGUCAU